UUAAAAUUACGUUUUUAAUUAAGAGUUUAAUUCUUUGUCUGUGAAAUCCAUUUUUGAUUUAAGUAUUUAUUAAUAGUAUUGGUAAUUCAUUUUUGAGCUUUAUAAAUAGUGUUAAAAUGUGUUAAAAAUACUGACAAAAAUGAUAAAGAACAUAAAAAUGAAACUGGAAAAUGCAGCACUGAUCCAAAUAAGACAAAAGAUUAAUGCUGCAGGAAAUCAUACUACUGCAAACAGCGGUAUUUUAAAUUGAAUUCGUUCAUUUAACGCCCACAGCAUAAUAAGGACACAUGGAAACAAGAUCAAAUAAUUGAUUGAAAAAAUACCUUUCAUUUGUGUUCUAGUGUAGCUGCAGUUCCACGUGUGAAAGCAACUUAGCAGCAGAUUAAAUUCACUGAAAACAAAAAUACAACCUGACCGACACAGCAGAUAUUGUAUUUCAGGGCUCUAGAGUGCGACCAAUUUGGUCACAAAUGCAACCAAAUUUUUCAGUGGUGCGACUAAAAAAAAAAAUUUGGUUGCACCUGUGCGACCAAAUGUUCGGGUAGCAAAAAAAAAAAAAAAAAAAAAAUCUGCAACCUUCCCUGUGGUCAGCAACAGACACACAUUAUGCCCCUAUCGUGGACUAAACCAAUCAGAGAUAGUAAGGGGCGGGACCUCUCUGAUUGGCCGUGGUCCAGUUGAAAGUGCAGGUGGAAGUGGGAGGUGAGUAGCUUGAAUAAAGCGAUAUCAAUUCAUUAAAUCCUGAAUCGACUUUUAAAUAUAACGGUGUUUUGCCAGAAACGGCAGAUUCUCAGAUUAAAGCUCACCAAACCAUUUCAACAACAACCAAACAGCAAAUGAGAGCAGGUACACGGACUCCACACAGAGACGUAAACACAGAGCGGACCCGACGCAUCAGAAUCAGCUUUGUCUUUCUCGGCUUUCUCACCCGACGGCCCGUAGACGGACACGCUGUCGGAGCUCAACGAUCCUGAUGCGUCCGGUCCGCGCUGUGUUUACGUCUUUUUGCGCUGAUUCUGAGCUGCAGGAUUUGUCUCUCCAACCAAAAUUCACCGAGCUGAAUUUUGCUGUUUUGCUUCCACGACUAUUAAAAUUGCACUUCAUGCACAGCUAGCUCUCUCUCUCUCUGUACUUCAAGAACAGUUUCCCGUCUCCAAUCUCUGUUUUCUGUAUUAUUCAUUGGCUUAUUACCCACCAGUCUACCG
ensembl:lncRNA